GGCCUGGUGGUGUAUCGGUAACACGUCUUCUCUGCUUCUGAAUAAGCAGAGGCACUUCAGAAGAAGCACCCCGUUCGAUUCGGGGCCAGGCCA